rnacentral:rRNA from 1 species
GGAUUGAACGCUGGCGGCAGGCCUAACACAUGCAAGUCGAGCGGCAGCACGGGUACUUGUACCUGGUGGCGAGCGGCGGACGGGUGAGUAAUGCCUAGGAAUCUGCCUGGUAGUGGGGGAUAACGCUCGGAAACGGACGCUAAUACCGCAUACGUCCUACGGGAGAAAGCAGGGGACCUUCGGGCCUUGCGCUAUCAGAUGAGCCUAGGUCGGAUUAGCUAGUUGGUGAGGUAAUGGCUCACCAAGGCGACGAUCCGUAACUGGUCUGAGAGGAUGAUCAGUCACACUGGAACUGAGACACGGUCAGACUCCUACGGGAGGCAGCA